rnacentral:rRNA from 1 species
UGGUAACUCCCAACCCCUGUGACAUACCUAUACGUUGCCUCGGCGGAUCAGCCCGCGCCCCGUAAAAAGGGACGGCCCGCCCGAGGACCCCUAAACUCUGUUUUUAGUGGAACUUCUGAGUAAAACAAACAAAUAAAUCAAAACUUUCAACAACGGAUCUCUUGGUUCUGGCAUCGAUGAAGAACGCAGCAAAAUGCGAUAAGUAAUGUGAAUUGCAGAAUUCAGUGAAUCAUCGAAUCUUUGAACGCACAUUGCGCCCGCCAGUAUUCUGGCGGGCAUGCCUGUUCGAGCGUCAUUUCAACCCUCAAGCUCAGCUUGGUGUUGGGACUCGCGGUAACCCGCGUUCCCCAAAUCGAUUGGCGGUCACGUCGAGCUUCCAUAGCGUAGUAAUCAUACACCUCGUUACUGGUAAUCGUCGCGGCCACGCCGUAAAACCCCAACUUCUGAAUGUUGACCUCGGAUCAGGUAGGAAUACCCGCUGAACUUAAGCAUAUCAAUAAGCGGAGGA